GCGGGUCCCUGGCUAAGGCUCCUCCCCGACGAACCCCAUUCCUGCUUUCCCGCUCAAAUGUUGCAUUUUCUAAGACCUCCCUGGCCCGCCAUACGCCGAUCCUGAACCUACGAAAACCCAAGACUGCGGGCACGGUGGCUCAUGCCUGUAAUCCCAGCACUUUGGGAGGCCGAGGCGGGCAGAUCACGAGGUCAAGAAGUCGAGACCAGCCUUGCUAACAUGGCGAAACCCUGACUCUACUGAAAAUACAAAAAUUAGCUGGGCGUGAUGGCGUGCGCGCCUGUAGUCCCAGCUGCUCGGGAGGCUGAGGUAGGAGAAUCGCUUCAAUCCGGGAGGUGGAGGUUGCGGUAAGCAGAGAUUGCGCCACUGCACUCUAGCCUGGCGACAGAGACUCCUUCAAAAACAACAACAACAACAACAACAACAACAAAACAAAACCUCCCAAGACCCUAGUGGGCAGACACACAGCCAGCCAGACAUGGAGAGGAGCACAUUAGCAGAAGAAGACGCAAGUGGCUGGUCCUCGAGAGGACGUUGAGAGGAGCAUGCCAGCAGAAGAGCACACAACGACAGGCACCGACACACCACCGGCAGGCCAUGCACCAGCAGAAUGAUGCGGAGUUUGACGGGGCAGUCAGAGAAGAGCCUGGGCCGCCAAGGGGCCCGACUCCAGGGGAAAACCAUCUCCCUUCUGGCUCCCCCAUCUGCUGAGAGCUACUUCUACUCAAUAAAACCUUGCACUCAUUCUCCAAGCCCACGUGUAAUCCGAUUCUUCAGUGUCACCUCCCAAAUGUGGAAAUGCAUUGUCUUUCUUCUUUCCUAGACCAGUGGUCCUCAAACUUGAGCAGGCUGUGUCCUUUGCCUGGAAUGCUCUCUCUUGCUGGCUGGCUUCUUCCCACCAGCUGUGGCCAGGGCUGCUCCUUAUUCCUUCGUCAAAACUCCGUCUGCUGGGUGUGGUGCCUCACACCUGUAAUCCCAGCACUUUGAGAGGCCAAGGUGGGAGUAUCGUUUGAGCCCAGGAGUUCAAGACAAGCCUGGACAACAGAGCAAGACCCUGUCUCUACCAAAGAAAAGAAAAGAAAAGAAAAGAAACAGCCACUUUCUCUUCCAUGAGCCAGUUUAUGUUUUCUUCACGGCAUUUGUUACAAAUCACAAAUGUGGAGGAAAAAUGAAGGCAAAGCAAAAUAACAGGCAAGUCUGAAAACAAAAGUGUUGCCAGUCACGCUAAGCCUCAGGCACGCAUUCUGAAUGAAGCUAAAGUUUAAAGUCCCCUCUGAUAGAUUUGUGACUUAAAUGUCCACACUAGCAAGUGUGUUUCUCACAUGGAGAAGUAGCACGAUUUUAUGUCAGGAAAGGGAUGAGAACAUGCUUCUUGAACACAUACAAUGCUGAAGACAUUUCCUGGAAAACCAUUGGCCUUUGCUUAGGACAGUUGCAUCACACAGAGAUGUUUGUGGUUCAGAUUUAUAAGAAACAUGGGAACUGAAGCCAAAGCACUACUUUUGCUCAGUAUAACCAGGUGCCAGAUCUAAAGUGUUAGGCAGGUUCCUAUAUGUAUGUUAGAAAAAAGUUGCCCAAGUUUUGGACAAUUCCUUUUCCAUCUCUCUUACAAGUCAACAAAUCGAAGCAAUAAACUAUUCUCUGAAGAAAACAAAUUUAUUUGGUUGAUUCAAACUUUUAAUGAGACUAUUACUCCCCUGUGUGCCUUUCCUUUCUCUGGUUCUAGAAAUACAUCUAGAAAGGGGGAAAAUGUUAAUAUAUUUUCUACUGACUUUAUAUCACAAAUGCUUAGCUUAGAGGGUGGACUCUGAGGAACAGUGUCCUUUCCAAAUAUUAUAAAACUUUGUGUUCAUUCUGGAAAAACAAACAAAAUUAAUCACAAUGAUUUCCUGCUUUGGAGCAAUGAGAAAUGGGAGGGAAACUUCACCUUUUCAUAGCUUUUGAUGUUUGCACCAUGUGAAUUACCCACCCCCAAAUUUAAAAUACGAAUUUUUGAAAAAGUGUUUACCUCUGAGAAGAGAAACUAGUAGUGAAGAAUGAGGAGCUGUAGAUUUUUAACGAUUCUGAUGUAUUUGCAUUUUUCCCAAUGUUCAUGAAUAAAUAAAUGUGCAUUCAUAAUUAAAAAGAAUAAACAACCUGGAAAAAACAAAAAAAGCUCUGCGUUCACUGAUCUCUAAAUAAGAAAAGAUAAGACUUGUAGUGUGGCCUUGUACUUGUACAUCUUUUCCAUGUGCCAAAGAGCUACCCCAUGGUCAAGCCAAGUGGUGAUUAUGUAGCUUUCUCUGAACAGACAUAAUAGGGCUACACAUUCACUGUGAAAAAGCUGCAGACAGAUGACACCAGUCAACAGAACACCCUACACAGAAACUGUAAAACCAUUUUAAC
rnacentral:lncRNA from 1 species